AAUCAACGCUGGCGGCGUGCCUCAGACAUGCAAGUCGAACGCGAAAGUCCCCUUCGGGGGACAAGUAGAGUGGCGCACGGGUGAGUAACACGUAGGUAAUCUACCUGUCGGAUGGGGAAUAACAACCGGAAACGGUUGCUAAUACCGCAUAAUGCAGCGGCACCUAAUGGUGACAGUUGUUAAAGCGGGGGAUUGAAAGACCUCGCGUCUGAAGAGGAGCCUGCGGCGGAUUAGCUUGNGGUAGGGUAACGGCCUACCAAGGCGACGAUCCGUAGCCGGCCUGAGAGGGCGGUCGGCCACACUGACACUGACAUACGGGUCAGACUCCUACGGGAGGCAGCAGUCGGGAAUUUUGGGCAAUGGGCGAAAGCCUGACCCAGCAACGCCGCGUGAAGGAUGAAAUCCCUCGGGAUGUAAACUUCGCAAGAACGGGAAGAAUAAGUA
rnacentral:rRNA from 1 species